AAAAAUUACAGCUUGCUAUUUAGAAGUGGAGGCAUUGGAGAGAGACAAAACAGUUUCUCGUGGAAGCUCUAGCAGGUAGAUGGCAAUCUCUGUGGGCAUUUGGUCAAGAAUGGCUGCUUUCUAAAGACAAACACACUUCCAGUCAAGGGGCUUGGAGACUGGACUCGGAAAUGUGAAAGAUGUUUCGAAGGCAGAAUGCACUGCUUCCACGGUGUGCUGAGUGUCUUCAGCGGACAGAUGGGAGUCUGAGAAGCAAUGUGGAGUCCUGGUUCCUGUGGUUCCUGGCAUGCUUCUUCCACAUUGUCCGGGUGUUACCUCUUAGCGGUCUGAGCGUCAGGCUGGCUGUUGAAUGCAGAGGUGAUGGACUCCUGUCCCAGCUCCCUUGUACAGAUUCUGGGGGUGACCCAGGUACUCCAGAGUGUGCUGAGUAUUCUUGGAGAGGCAGAACACCAAGCCCACCUAUUCCAAGGUCUGGUGACGGCCACCGGGGCGGAAACCAGACCGAGACACCCCCUCCCCUGUGGGGUUAGUACCUGCUUCCGGCCUCCCAAGACUUCCCUGGUGGCUCAGACGGUAAAGCGUCUGCCUACAACGCGGGAGACCUGGGUUCGAUCCCUGGGUGGGGUAGAUCCUCUGGGGAAGGAAAUGGCAACCCACUCUAGUACUCUUGCCUGGAAAAAUCCCAUGGAUGGAGGAGCCUGGUAGGCUACAGUCCAUAGGGUCGCAGAGUUGGACACGACUGAGCUACUUCACUUCACUUGACUUCCGGCCUCCCAGCGCUCAACUUCCUGGGAGGCCCCCCACCUGCUUCUGCGCUCUGCCUUCCGUUUCCUUUCUAAGGCGAUCCUGGUUUUAAGCAGUUUCCUGUGUGAGAAGGUCGGCUGGGGCACGCGACCCCGUGUGAUUAUGUAGGGCCAGGUGGAGGGCAGGUGGGUUCCGGAGGACACGGUCCCUGCCCCGCUGCUGUCAUGAUCUGAGAAGUGGCCACCGAGCAAAAACGGAAUUGAGCAAAACGCCCGGAAAUUUGGUUCCUCAGAUAGGGACUGAAUUUGUAAACGUAUGGGAGACGCUGCCAAGGGCAGUGACUCCAGAAUGGGGCCAGGAAACCUUUCCUCAUGGAGACUGAACAGUUGAUCCAGUUAUCUUUUCAGUGGGGACUUUUUUCGGCGGUUGGGUAGGGGGGGCUUGGGUCCUUGGUCAUAUUGUAGCUUUAAUAAAGACGGUGCCUGG
rnacentral:lncRNA from 1 species